AGGCCCCGGGCGUAUGAAACACGAAAGUACGUUUAGACAUUGAAAACCGUUUCAAAAAGUCUCGAUAGGAUUUUCUUUCCUUAACGUAUCCUACAGCUUUCACUGACUUUGCACAGAGCAGAGAUACGGCAAAUAAUAGGGUCAGUAGUAUAAGUCAAUCAUUAAAUAUUACAAAAUGUAAAACUCAUAAUAAACGUCACUGCGUUAAUAUUUACGUCUAACUUCAUCUCUGAAAGAUGUAACAAAUUGCUAAAAAAAACAACGUUUCUUAUCGCCUAAAAAUGUGACGCACUCACGAAGUUGCUUCAGAGAAAGUUGCUUUCUUACAGUCACAGGCUUUGCCAAGAAAAAAAAAAGAAGUCGAUUCAAGGCUUGGCUGUGCUCCUGUACACUGAGGAACACAAGCAAUUUUAUCGAGGAACUGCAGGAAAUCGCAAUUCUCUUAGUUGGAAGAGGAAAAAAGUUCGCACGAUCGAGAGAUGACCUUAAUCUUAUCAGGAAAUUAACGCCUAUUGGCGCGAAGAUAAAGGCCGUCGAUCGAACCGCACAAACGCCGCCCGAUAAAAAUAGAACUCUAAGGCCGCAGAUACGUCUAAUUCUCAUAAAUGAAAUGAACGUACCGACUUCUGCCGUUUCCAUCUGAGAAUUUUGCAAAACCGAUCAAGAUUUAAUUCCCGGAAUCAAUUACACAUCGUGAUUGUCAAUUGAUCUUCAAACACGACGUCCGAACGACAAUACAUGCUAAACGCAAUUUCCUUUAUUCUUUAUUUUUUUACACACGCGCGUUAAUUUGUUAUAUAACGUUUGAACGGAUCUGGCAUAAACUCCGACUUGACGCAAACGCGAUGCAGCAAUCGUUCCAUGUAGGUACAGGCCAAUAAAUUCCAUGAAAGUUCGAGUUAACACGGGUACGACGACCUCUAUGCCACGAUCGAUCGUGUAUCUGUAUCUCGAGACUGUGUGCUUAAAGGUACACUCACACCGAUCAAUCACCUGGAAGUACGAAUCGCGUGACGUAGAGCACGAGGCAAACAAAAGAAACGGUCACCAAAAAAUUUCCUUCGUCUAGACCCCACGAUAUUCUUGCUCGGAACGAACCGCGCUUCUUGAAGAAAGAAGUUCUUCUUAAAUUAAAAAGCACUGUGAGGAUACAAACUAAUAAAAGAUCGUGCAUCUUCUUGAUAUUCCUGCUAACCGGCAGAUGAUUGCUCGUUCGCAUUUCCGGGAAGUUUUCCAAAUUAGAGCGACAGAAUUUUUAAGCUUCAAAGGCUGCGAAUUCCAGCCACUGUAUCGCCCUCGUUGUGCUGACGUCUCGUAAACAUUGCAAUACAGAAAGAACUGACGCGUCGAAACGAAAUAUGAAACUAGCAAUAGCGCACAGCCUUGUGUUUCAUAACCGAACGUAUUUGUACUACUGCGAAUAUAUACUGUAAUGACUCGAUCCCUGAUGUCGCGUUCUGUGAAACCUGCUUAUCGCGCGUCGUGCGUCGAAAGACAAAUCGAUCUACCUGAAAACGCUGCACUGCAGGAGCGAUUGAAUCGAAAGUGGAAUGGUUCAUCACGAAAAUGUUAAACCGCGCGGAUCAAUAGGCCGAAGGAACAAAUUGCUCGAAAGUAGUGGCUCAAUUAAACAGGCGAUCAUUUUCCUUUUCUAUGCUAAGCUGUCUAAAGUCUCGCACACAUACAUGCACAUACAUAUGUAAUUAAAGCCCCCGAUCGAUUUUCCUAAAAUUACACCUGCUACUCAAUUUUAAAAUUAGCAACCAUUAUCUUAUCCGAGACUAAUACGUAGUGACAUUUGAGAGGAGUAAUCGAUUCACGGAAAAUUGCUAUAUGAAUGCGAUAGUACAGGAAGCAAGUGGAAUUCGUACACAGGAAGCUAGCGCAUAACUUUGAUAAACGGAAACCACAGUGAAAUAUCAGAACUCCGCUUAUACAAUUAUAAUGCAAACCCAUUGACAUUUCAUGUUACAUAAACACGAAACACGAUCUUAAUCGCACCUGUCUGUGAACUCUGAACGGUAAACUAUAAAUAUAAAUAUUUUUUAACAUGUCAUGAUUCAUUAAAUGAAAUCACGACUAUUAAUACUUAAAGUCAUUAAUUAUCGUACUAUUUUUUUUUGUUUUGUAAUGUGUAUUUUAUGGCAAGCUUUCUCUUCGAUAUGAAACAUGCAAUUAUGUUGGCAAAAGUUACAUUGUUAUAUUGCUUGCUGAAUUAUCUUCGUUACUUAAAGAGUUAAAGAAACAGGAAAAAAAAUAUGUUAAUCAUACGUUCGAAUGGUCUAUUAUUAGUUACUAAUGAUGAUUAUCUAAUAAUCUUCGGAAUAUUUUGCUUAUCGAAAUGUUUCGUAAUCGCAAGUAGUAAGGAAGGCAGAAAAUCGAUAAGGUUACUUGAUAGACCGUCACGGAUGCGUCACCGAAUCGAUACGCGUUUCCUCGUGACAAAAAUCACAGUGGCUGGUUGUUAAACGAAUGUUUACAAGUGCGUGCUGUUAGUUGCCGUUUGCAUUUUUCAACCAACAAUCUGCAACGAAAUCUGCCCGAAAGUCGUAUUCCAAUGACUCGCUAUUACUUCCCGAUAAACGCGCGCAUCGUUCGCAGUUGGAAAACGAAAAGUCUAUACGGUAUUUUUAUAUCGACUUCGUCUUAUCAAACAUCAAAUGUUUCAUGCCUUAUUAUCGCGAUUACUUUAUUCGGGGCACGUAUUUGUGGGGCGAAAAUAUCAAAAGCAGGGAUGCAUUAUUCAAUCGUGAAAUGGAAUAUUUUAUUUAUUCAUACAAACGACGCGUUGGCAUAAACGUGAAGCUCAGCGAAGAGUCAAGCCGAUUGACACUUUUACGACGAACGAUAAAAAUGCUCCCCAUUAGAGAGAGGAUGCGGAUUUUACUUUUUUUUCCUGUACAUGUCUGCGAUUGCCGUUACUCGUACAUAAACUUCAAAAGGCGAACGAUAUGAAAAUAUGACUGAAACGAAAUUACGUUACGUUCAUCAUUUCCGGAUUUGCAUUCCCUUAAGUACAUAUGUGCCGGGCCAUUGAAAGAGGAAUAAUCUCUGAGUUAGUGAGCAACCAAACGUGCAAACGAAUUGCUUUUUUUAUGUCGCCAGGUUUGAUCCGACGACAGGCCAGCUAGUCGAUUCUGAGCCGUUGACGUCAGAAUCGUUAUACGCAGAUGGAACGAGACACGUUUCAAAGAUUGAAUAUACGAAGCACGGAGCGCCGAGUCGACUCUAACGAGAGAAGUAACGGGGAAAUUUGGGUCUUCUCCCGUUAAUUUAUUCUUUUCAGGGCAUCGAGUAUGCCGGGGAGCGUGUUUUAAAAAUCGAAUUAAACGGGCGAACGCGUUCGAUCAAAGGGAGUCGGUGUUCGAUCGCAACCGAAAGCCCGCUUAAUUACUCGUCACAGUAGCAAAAUAAUGCACCGAUCCAACGAAACACGGGAUAUACAUAAAUUUCACAGCUACCGAAUCGGCUGAACACCGAGAACCGGGGAAACAAAUUUCAUUAUCGUGGAAAAUAUUGCUCGCUUCGUACGGAUUACCCAUUCGAUUCCCUAAAUAAUUUCAAUCUCGAUAAUACAUCACGCCGCGAUGACCGUCGAUGGAAUAUUGCUAUAUCGUCCGUAAUUCGAUUUGCAAAUUUGUUCCCGAUAUCGAGUUCCGUUUUGGCCCCUUUUACGAAAGCGUAACAAUUCGAUAGAAUAAUUUGUUUUCAAAGACAAAUUAAAAAGGUAUCAGGACCGUUCGAAUUUUUAUAUGAUGAAGUCAGAGCGUCGAAUCUCUCAUUGUUUCGUCUCAAACAACGAAACGAGGUCCAAUGACUUUUGGAAAAUCACUCGUUCGUGCAUCGAUCAUCUCGCGAUCUCGGCUCGCGAACGCGUUUCGCAUUUGAAAGCGAUAAACGAGGGAUCUGAAAACUUUCCUAUUGACCGUGACGAGUGUGCCUACGUAUACACAUGGCCUCGCAGCCAGAGGAACGCUCAUUUUUAGUUUUCUCUCGUGUCGCUUCUCGCGUUUAUUUUCGGUCGAUGAAAGCGUAGGCAGAACAUAUGUACAUGCGCGUAGCGCCAACACCCGAAAAGAAAUAACCCAUUUUCGGUUCCCAUGCGGCGCACGUUUCCUGGCAGAAGCGUUGGUUCCGCGAGGGAAAAAUAUGCGGCCAUUCGUCCGCCACGAAUGACAAUGAACGGAUGGAAACACGUUGCUUCGCGUGUUCCUCGAAAUAGAUAAUCGGAUUCGCUUACCUUCGCGAAAGGGAAAUCAGCGAUGACGCCUGUUUCGACUUACGUAAGAUUUCGGAACGAGGGAAUCGCUCGGCGAGCAGCGAACGAACGCGAUUGCUGCCAUUUGUCAAACGAAAUGCGUGCGUAUCUGUCAAACUCCAGAGGAGGUUUAUUUCUGGGAAAAAAGAAGGAAUGUGCAGAUGGCAAAUGACAUGACGUCAUUUCUGCCUGGACCUUGAAAUGAGCGUUGUAUUAACUACACUUCUCACAGCUCGGAAUGGAGAAAACGAUAAUGCUUUCUGGAGAACAAAAAACAUAUUCCGUGGAAAAUCGUUGAAUGCACGUACAGUUUACAAAUUCAAGUUCGAUCGCUAUUCCUGAGAUGUAAGACUAUCAGGUGAAUAGAAUGAAAAUAACAUCUCCUGGUACAAUCAAGAAAUCUUGUAUUUUAUUGUAAUAUCGUGAAUAAAUGCAACCGCAAAGAG